rnacentral:rRNA from 1 species
AUUGAACGCUGGCGGCAUGCUUUACACAUGCAAGUCGAACGGCAGCGCGGGGGGCAACCCUGGCGGCGAGUGGCGAACGGGUGAGUAAUACAUCGGAACGUACCCAGAAGUGGGGGAUAACGUAGCGAAAGUUACGCUAAUACCGCAUACGUUCUACGGAAGAAAGUGGGGGAUCGCAAGACCUCAUGCUUUUGGAGCGGCCGAUGUCUGAUUAGCUAGUUGGUGAGGUAAAGGCUCACCAAGGCGACGAUCAGUAGCUGGUCUGAGAGGACGACCAGCCACACUGGAACUGAGACACGGUCCAGACUCCUACGGGAGGCAGCAGUGGGGAAUUUUGGACAAUGGGGGCAACCCUGAUCCAGCAAUGCCGCGUGAGUGAAGAAGG